CCUCGUUGGAGCUGGGCAGUGGUACGGUGUGGCAGAUGCUGAAAUUUUGGACAUGAGUAUUGAUCUGCUUGAGGGUAGAGAGGCUUUGCAGAGGCAUCUGGACAGGCUGGAUGGACGGGCCAAGGCCAAUGGUGUGAGGUUGAACAAGAUCAGGUGUCAGGUCCUGCACUUGGGUCACACCAACCCCAUGGAUGCUCCAGGCUGGCGGCAGAGUGGCUGGAGCUGCCCGGCAGAAAAGGACCUGGGGGUGUUGGUUGACUGUCGGCUGAACAUGAGCCAGCAGUGUGCCCAGGUGGCCGAAAAGGCCACCAGCAUCCUGGCCUGUGUCAGGAAGAGUAUGGCCAGCAGGACUGGGGCAGUGACCGUCCCCCUGUACUGGGCACUGGGGAGGCCCCACCUCGAGGGCUGUGUCCAGUUUUGGGUCCCUCACCACAAAAAAGACAUUGAGGGGCUGGAGCGGGUCCAGAGAAGGGCAAUGAAGCUUGUGAGGGGUCUGGAGAGUAAGUCUUAUGAGGAGAGGCUGAGGGACCUGGGGGUGUUUAGUCUGGAGAAAAGGAGGCUGAGGGGAGACCUUCUGGCUCUCUCCAAUUCCCUAAAAGGAGGGUGUAGCCAGGGGAGGUCGGUCUCUGCUCCCAAGGAACAGGUGAUGGGACGAGAGGAAACGGCCUCAAGUUGUCCCGGGGGAGGUUUAGGAUGGAUGUUGGGAACAAUUUCUUCACCGAAAGGGUUGCCAAACAUCUGAAGAGGCUGUCCAGGGCAGUGAUGGAGUCACCAUCCCUGGAGGUAUUUAAAAGCCAGGCAGACGUGGUGCUGAGGGACAUGGGGUAGGGGUGGCCUUGUCAGUGUUGGGUUGAUGGUUUGACUCGAUGAUCUGAAAAUCCCUUCCAACCUUGGCAAUUCUAUGAUUCUAUGAAAUUAAGACAUUGCUAAAAUUAAAUUCAAUACUAUUUGAAAAAUACUCCAAGGGCUGGAAUAAGCAGUAGUUGGAGCUGUUCCCUUGUGCUUUGAAAAUAAAGAGCGGU
rnacentral:lncRNA from 1 species